UCUUUGUUUACUGCAAUCAGAUAUCCUUAGGCAGCCCAGCGUUUAGGUCAGUAAAGCUUGAAACUCUCAGCUAUUAAGAUAGGAACAACGAGAGUCUACCAGGGACAGCUGUUACAUCAGCUUAAUAUCUGAGGUGACAACAAUAAUAAAGCUUAGAAAAAGUCAUGGGAUUCUCAGGUCUUCUUCGUCGAAACAGCAGCCGCAGACGAAGCUUCAAACGUAUCGAACCACGUGACCGAUCCGCUCAAUCAACAAGUUCUGGCGCUCAGCACCGGUCAGCGGAUACCGACGCAAACAGCUGCGAAAAGCGCGCGUCCCGGGAGAUUGGGUCCAUGCUGCGAAGGAUUGGAGACGAACUUAACAACAGCAGAUUGAGCCUCAAUUCCAUCAUUUGAAAUGGCACUCAAGGCAUAAGAUGAGAUUAAGUGCGAGGCGUGGUCGGUGACGAAUCGAGUCUGGAAAAAUGAAGGUUAAAAUUUUCAAGAAUUUGCUGUAAGAGGCGUGAUAGCCAAGAACGCUACGGACAAACGCUGAUAGUCACUGUUAAGUUCACUUUGUGCGGGUGAAAAACGGAGUUGCUUUGUACAUUAGGCUUUUAACUCAGAUGAUUCCGAUUUAGUGAACUCAUAAUGAAUCGUGUAAAUACCGUUUUGUGAGAAAAUAAAAAAAAAUCGAUCACUCAAGAAUGUACUAUAAAGUUCGCGUUCGUAAUGAAUCUCUAAUUCACUAUUUUUCGUUGUAGUUUAUACGCACAAUAUAGUAUCGUUAAGACUAAGGUUAGGUUGUAAAAUUGUAAAUAUCUUGCUACCACUAAAUCCACCAUGCACAACUAGAGAGGAUAGGAUUACAAUCGACUGUUUUUGAACCAAUAAUUAACAUAAUGAAAAAGAUA